rnacentral:rRNA from 1 species
GAUGAACGCUGGCGGCGUGCCUAAUACAUGCAAGUCGAGCGAACAGACGAGGAGCUUGCUCCUCUGACGUUAGCGGCGGACGGGUGAGUAACACGUGGAUAACCUACCUAUAAGACUGGGAUAACUUCGGGAAACCGGAGCUAAUACCGGAUAAUAUAUUAAACCGCAUGGUUCAAUAGUGAAAGACGGUUUUGCUGUCACUUAUAGUUGGAUCCGCGCCGCAUUAGCUAGUUGGUAAGGUAACGGCUUACCAAGGCAACGAUGCGUAGCCGACCUGAGAGGGUGAUCGGCCACACUGGAACUGAGACACGGUCCAGACUCCUACGGGAGGCAGCAGUAGGGAAUCUUCCGCAAUGGGCGAAAGCCUGACGGAGCAACGCCGCGUGAAUGAUGAAGGUCUUCGGAUCGUAAAACUCUGUUAUUAGGGAAGAACAAAUGUGUAAGUAACUAUGCACGUCUUGACGGUACCUAAUCAGAAAGCCACGGCUAACUACGUG